rnacentral:lncRNA from 1 species
AUUUUUUCGAAUAUAUUUUUUUUUUUUUUUUUUGAAAUGUUGCAAAUGUUUAUGUAAUAGAAAAUAUAUUAAUAUGUAUAUAAAUAUUUGGCAAAAAAAAAAAAAAAAAUAAAAAAAAAAAAAAAAAAAAAGUUAUAAUAAAAGCAUAAACUUAGUUGUCACAAAUAAAAAAAAAGAAUAAGAUAGUACAACUAAACUUGCUUACACAUAUAAGUAACUAUUUUUUUUUUUAAAUACCUUUUUGUUUAACUGUAAAAUUGUUAAGUAUUAGAACUGUAAUCGAACAUAUACCGAAGUUAUGUCAAAGGAAUAUUAUUAUAAUUAUUACAAACUUUUUUUUUUUUUUUUUUUUUUGUUCUUUUGUGGUGCUUUAAAUGUACAGUAAAAUAUAUUUUAUCUUUUUUUUAAACCAAUUAUUACAAAAUAUAACAUAUUAUGUGUGUAUUAUUCAUUAUUAGCCAUUUCCCCUUUUCCAUAUAUAUAUACAUAUAUAUGUAUAUUGCUUUUAAUUAAGAAUGAGCAUUCAUAUAUAACAACGGUUUAUACAUGAACGUGUAUUGGAAAAAAAAAAAAAAGGAAAAGGUUAUUAAAAAAUGGGGCAAUAAAAUUUACUAAUAAACAUAUAUAGAAAUAACUUUUACUAUCUAUGUGAGUAAAUAAAAAAUGAGUAAAAACAUAGUACGUUAUUCCGAGAGUAAACUUAUGAUAUAUAAUUCAAUUUUUUAAAAACAUAAAUCACAACAAAAAAAAGAAAAAAAAAAAAAGUGAUAUUAAUGAUAAUAAAAAAGAUAUUAUAAAUAUUAUUCCAUGUUACCAUCUAAAGAAAGUUUACAAGAAUUUAUAAAAAAAAAAAAAAAAAAAAAAAAAAACCAUCAUGUGGGCAUAAACUUAUGAUUUACAUUUAAUAAAGUUUAAAAUAAGUUCUUUUUUUUUUUUCCUUUUUUUUUUUUUUUUUUUUUUUUUUUUUUUUUUUUUUUUAGCAGUUUUAUGUUCAGGUUUUCAAAUUUUACAUAAAUUUGGUAGUGAUGAAGUAUUUGAUACUUAUAGUAUAAUUGCUUUUUUUUGCAAUGGGUAUAUUAGGAGGUUAUAUUCAAGCAAUAGCAUUUAGAGUAGCAACUACAUUAAAAAAAAAAUUAUAGUGGUUAUAUAUCUACAGGAAUUGGUUUAUCUUCAGUUAUAACUUUUUCAAUUAAUUUAUUACUUGAUUUGUUUGUUAGCCAAGAAAAGAAAUAUAAAAUAAACAAACAGAAAUUACAAUUUUUGUUUGGUGU